rnacentral:rRNA from 1 species
GACGAACGCUGGCGGCGUGCUUAACACAUGCAAGUCGAACGGAAAGGCCCUGCUUUUGUGGGGUGCUCGAGUGGCGAACGGGUGAGUAACACGUGAGUAACCUGCCCUUGACUUUGGGAUAACUUCAGGAAACUGGGGCUAAUACCGGAUAGGAGCUCCUGCUGCAUGGUGGGGGUUGGAAAGUUUCGGCGGUUGGGGAUGGACUCGCGGCUUAUCAGCUUGUUGGUGGGGUAGUGGCUUACCAAGGCUUUGACGGGUAGCCGGCCUGAGAGGGUGACCGGCCACAUUGGGACUGAGAGACGGCCCAGACUCCUACGGGAGGCAGCAGUGGGGAAUAUUGCACAAUGGGCGGAAGCCUGAUGCAGCAACGCCGCGUGCGGGAUGACGGCCUUCGGGUUGUAAACCGCGUUCGCCUGUGACGAAGCGUGAGUGACGGUAAUGGGUAAGGAAGCACCGGCUAACUACGUG